GACGAAGGGGGGCUAGCGUUGUUCGGAAUUACUGGGCGUAAAGCGCGUGUAGGCGGUUGCCAUAGUCAGGUGUGAAAGCCUUGAGCUUAACUCAAGAAAUGCACUUGAUACUGGGCGACUAGAGGACCGGAGAGGAUAGUGGAAUUCCCAGUGUAGUGGUGAAAUACGUAGAGAUUGGGAAGAACACCAGUGGCGAAGGCGGCUAUCUGGACGGUUACUGACGCUAAGACGCGAAAGCGUGGGGAGCAAACAGG
rnacentral:rRNA from 1 species